UGGGGAAUAUUGCACAAUGGAGGGAACUCUGAUGCAGCGACGCCGCGUGAACGAAGAAGGCUUUCGAGUCGUAAAGUUCUUUUAUAUGGGAAGAUAAUGACGGUACCAUAAGAAGAAGCCCCGGCUAACUACGUGCCAGCAGCCGCGGUAAUACGUAGGGGGCUAGCGUUGUCCGGAAUCACUGGGCGUAAAGGGUUCGCAGGCGGAAAUGCAAGUCAGGUGUAAAAGGCAGUAGCUUAACUACUGUAAGCAUUUGAAACUGCAUAUCUUGAGAAGAGUAGAGGUAAGUGGAAUUUUUAGUGUAGCGGUGAAAUGCGUAGAUAUUAAAAAGAAUACCGGUGGCGAAGGCGACUUACUGGGCUCAUUCCGACGCUGAGGAACGAAAGCGUGGGUAGCAAACAGG
rnacentral:rRNA from 1 species